GGUCGUGUGGUGUAGUGGUAUUAUCAUGUUUCCUUUACAUUGCUAAUCGCAUUGAUAUAUCGGAAAAGGUCGCAGGUUCGAACCCUGCCACGAUCA